GGUUAAGCGACUAAGCGUACACGGUGGAUGCCCUGGCAGUCAGAGGCGAUGAAGGACGUGCUAAUCUGCGAAAAGCGUCGGUAAGGUGAUAUGAACCGUUAUAACCGGCGAUGUCCGAAUGGGGAAACCCAGUGCAAUUCGUUGCACUAUCGUUAACUGAAUACAUAGGUUAACGAGGCGAACCGGGGGAACUGAAACAUCUAAGUACCCCGAGGAAAAGAAAUCAACCGAGAUUCCCCCAGUAGCGGCGAGCGAACGGGGAGCAGCCCAGAGUCUGAAUCAGCUUGUGUGUUAGUGGAACGGUCUGGAAAGUCCGACGGUACAGGGUGAUAGUCCCGUACACCAAAAUGCACAGGCUGUGAACUCGAAGAGUAGGGCGGGACACGUGGUAUCCUGUCUGAAUAUGGGGGGACCAUCCUCCAAGGCUAAAUACUCCUGACUGACCGAUAGUGAACCAGUACCGUGAGGGAAAGGCGAAAAGAACCCCGGCGAGGGGAGUGAAAAAGAACCUGAAACCGUGUACGUACAAGCAGUGGGAGCACCUUCGGGUGUGACUGCGUACCUUUUGUAUAAUGGGUCAGCGACUUAUAUUCUGUAGCAAGGUUAACCGUAUAGGGGAGCCGCAGGGAAACCGAGUCUUAACUGGGCGUUAAGUUGCAGGGUAUAGACCCGAAACCCGGUGAUCUAGCCAUGGGCAGGUUGAAGGUUGGGUAACACUAACUGGAGGACCGAACCGACUAAUGUUGAAAAAUUAGCGGAUGACUUGUGGCUGGGGGUGAAAGGCCAAUCAAACCGGGAGAUAGCUGGUUCUCCCCGAAAGCUAUUUAGGUAGCGCCUCGUGAAUUCAUCUUCGGGGGUAGAGCACUGUUUCGGCUAGGGGGUCAUCCCGACUUACCAACCCGAUGCAAACUACGAAUACCGAAGAAUGUUAUCACGGGAGACACACGGCGGGUGCUAACGUCCGUCGUGAAGAGGGAAACAACCCAGACCGCCAGCUAAGGUCCCAAAGUCAUGGUUAAGUGGGAAACGAUGUGGGAAGGCACAGACAGCCAGGAUGUUGGCUUAGAAGCAGCCAUCAUUUAAAGAAAGCGUAAUAGCUCACUGGUCGAGUCGGCCUGCGCGGAAGAUGUAACGGGGCUAAACCAUGCACCGAAGCUGCGGCAGCGACACUAUGUGUUGUUGGGUAGGGGAGCGUUCUGUAAGCCUGCGAAGGUGACCUGUGAGGGUUGCUGGAGGUAUCAGAAGUGCGAAUGCUGACAUAAGUAACGAUAAAGCGGGUGAAAAGCCCGCUCGCCGGAAGACCAAGGGUUCCUGUCCAACGUUAAUCGGGGCAGGGUGAGUCGACCCCUAAGGCGAGGCCGAAAGGCGUAGUCGAUGGGAAACAGGUUAAUAUUCCUGUACUUGGUGUUACUGCGAAGGGGGGACGGAGAAGGCUAUGUUAGCCGGGCGACGGUUGUCCCGGUUUAAGCAUGUAGGCUGAUUGUCCAGGCAAAUCCGGAUAAUCAAGGCUGAGGUGUGAUGACGAGGCACUACGGUGCUGAAGUAACAAAUGCCCUGCUUCCAGGAAAAGCCUCUAAGCAUCAGGUAACAUCAAAUCGUACCCCAAACCGACACAGGUGGUCAGGUAGAGAAUACCAAGGCGCUUGAGAGAACUCGGGUGAAGGAACUAGGCAAAAUGGUGCCGUAACUUCGGGAGAAGGCACGCUGGUGUGUAGGUGAAGUCCCUGCGGAUGGAGCUGAGACCAGUCGAAGAUACCAGCUGGCUGCAACUGUUUAUUAAAAACACAGCACUGUGCAAACACGAAAGUGGACGUAUACGGUGUGACGCCUGCCCGGUGCCGGAAGGUUAAUUGAUGGGGUUAUCCGUAAGGAGAAGCUCUUGAUCGAAGCCCCGGUAAACGGCGGCCGUAACUAUAACGGUCCUAAGGUAGCGAAAUUCCUUGUCGGGUAAGUUCCGACCUGCACGAAUGGCGUAAUGAUGGCCAGGCUGUCUCCACCCGAGACUCAGUGAAAUUGAACUCGCUGUGAAGAUGCAGUGUACCCGCGGCAAGACGGAAAGACCCCGUGAACCUUUACUAUAGCUUGACACUGAACAUUGAGCCUUGAUGUGUAGGAUAGGUGGGAGGCUUUGAAGCGUGGACGCCAGUCUGCGUGGAGCCAACCUUGAAAUACCACCCUUUAAUGUUUGAUGUUCUAACGUUGGCCCCUUACCGGGGUUGCGGACAGUGUCUGGUGGGUAGUUUGACUGGGGCGGUCUCCUCCCAAAGCGUAACGGAGGAGCACGAAGGUUAGCUAAUCCUGGUCGGACAUCAGGAGGUUAGUGCAAUGGCAUAAGCUAGCUUGACUGCGAGCGUGACGGCGCGAGCAGGUGCGAAAGCAGGUCAUAGUGAUCCGGUGGUUCUGAAUGGAAGGGCCAUCGCUCAACGGAUAAAAGGUACUCCGGGGAUAACAGGCUGAUACCGCCCAAGAGUUCAUAUCGACGGCGGUGUUUGGCACCUCGAUGUCGGCUCAUCACAUCCUGGGGCUGAAGUAGGUCCCAAGGGUAUGGCUGUUCGCCAUUUAAAGUGGUACGCGAGCUGGGUUUAGAACGUCGUGAGACAGUUCGGUCCCUAUCUGCCGUGGGCGCUGGAGAAUUGAGGGGGGCUGCUCCUAGUACGAGAGGACCGGAGUGGACGCAUCACUGGUGUUCGGGUUGUCAUGCCAAUGGCACUGCCCGGUAGCUAAAUGCGGAAGAGAUAAGUGCUGAAAGCAUCUAAGCACGAAACUUGCCCCGAGAUGAGUUCUCCCUGAGACUUUAAGUCUCCUGAAGGAACGUUAAAGACGAUGACGUUGAUAGGCCGGGUGUGUAAGCGCAGCGAUGCGUUGAGCUAACCGGUACUAAUGAACCGUGAGGCUUAACCUU
rnacentral:rRNA from 1 species